AGUGAACGCUGGCGGUAGGCCUAACACAUGCAAGUCGAACGGCAGCACAGUAAGAGCUUGCUCUUACGGGUGGCGAGUGGCGGACGGGUGAGGAAUACAUCGGAAUCUACUUUUUCGUGGGGGAUAACGUAGGGAAACUUACGCUAAUACCGCAUACGACCUACGGGUGAAAGCAGGGGAUCUUCGGACCUUGUGCGAUUGAAUGAGCCGAUGUCGGAUUAGCUAGUUGGCGGGGGAAAGGCCCACCAAGGCGACGAUCCGUAGAUGGGCGGAGAGGAUGAUCGGCCAGACGGGGAGUGCGACACGGCCGAGACUGGUACGGGAGGCAGCAGUGGGGAAUAUUGGAGAAUGGGCGAAAGACUGAUCCAGCAAUGCCGCGUGAGUGAUGAAGGCCUGAGGGAUGUAAAGCUCUUGUACCCGUGAUGAUAAUGACAGUACCGGGAGAAUAAGCUCGGGCUAACUCCGUG
rnacentral:rRNA from 1 species